rnacentral:lncRNA from 1 species
UUUUUUUUUUUUUUUUUGCCUUCUCUCUCCCCACUCCUGUAUUUUAAGUUCCUGAACCUGUUGCUCUAAAGCAUCUGCAGAGACACAGGAUGAGAGGCAGCAAAUAGACCAUGUAGCUCAGAGGGAGGGAGCAAUCGGGAGGGGAGGAAGGCGGGGGGGCGGAAGGGGAGUAGCAGCUUCGGCAGCGUUUCAGCAAGCGCUUGCCGUGCUCUAGAGUCCCUCGCAGAUACUUCGGGCUGUCCACUUCGCAGUGGGAGGAUUGCCAAAAAAUCAGAAAAUUUGCAAAUGAUCUUCUCCUCCUGGCAGGUGAAGCGUUUCCCGGUCCUUGAAUCCCGCAGAUAUACAAAGGGUAAUAAAAAUAAUAACAAUAAUAAAAAAUCGGCGGCAGUGGCUGUUUUUCUAAAAAACGAUCAAAAAGAUUGUUUUUUUUAAAUAUGUGUAUUUAUAUAUACAUAGGAAAGGAGGGUGGCCACAGGUCUGUAAGCAGGGGUAGAAAAGCUUAUUUGUUACUCAUCACCUGCGAUGAGGUUGAUGGAGUGGAGGGAUAGGAGAGAGACAGAAAGGGGGAAAAAAAGUCUCAGCGUGUUGUUGAAGCCUUCUUCCUGUGCAGUGAGAGGCAGUGAAAUGUCUGAUUGCACCGCGGGGGUUGUUGGUUUUCAGGGAGUGUUUUGCUGCAUUUAGAGAUCUAAUCUUGCUUGCUUGCGGCCGGAGAGCUGCAUCUCGCUGCCGUCGGUAUUUCUCCCCCUCUCUGUCUCGUACACCCUCACAGUUUCCCUCCCGAAUCAGAAGGCGAGGGAAGGAGGAUUGCAGGGCAAGAGGGAAAAACAAAACAGGGGGAAAAAAAAAAAAGCCCAAAACCGCAAAAACUAGUGGCCCGGAUUUGUAGUUUCCUUUCUCUCCCUUUACUACCAGCCUCCCACUCGUCCUUUUGUGGGGAAAAAAAUAAGAAACCCAUUAUCUGACCGUCAUCACUAGCCACAGUAAAUAUAUGUUUUGAUAGAAAAUCAGAGGUCGUGCUCAAUCAGACGCACACUUGGUUUCUUUUAAGACAGGCCAGUAAGCCGCCGCCACCACCACAUCCUUUCUCUCCGGGUGGCCUAUGCGUGUGUGCGGAUGCGUGUCUGAGGAGCUGCACUUUUCUCGAUGCAGUUUAAUUCCAGUUUGCUUUUCUCUCCAGCCGAGAGGAAAGCAACAGGGCAACCCCAUGGCUGGACGCAUAGAUUAAAAAAAAAAAAAAAAAAAAAAUAUAGAAAGGGAGAGAGCGAGAGAGAGAGAAAGGAAGGGGGGAGGGGGAGAGAGAAGCCAACACACACAAGAGACAUACAAGCCCUCUCGCUAAAAGGAAAACAGUCUCUGUAUUCACAGGGCUGGCCGCUAUCAAGUGCCUCUUUUCUUUCUAUUCAGUAUCUCCUUCCAAUGACACUGCCGCCUAGUCCUCUUCAUUUAGGGGAGGGAAAAGAGGGGAAAACAAUCCUGGCGCUGAAUAAAGUGGGAGACCUCUUUAAUCAACUAAUUCGCUUAUAUUAAAAGCUAUGCAGUUCCGCGAUUGGUGUGAUGCAUUUUUUUGCAGUCUUUUCAAGCUUUACAGUCUCCCUGAGCAUCUUGGUAGAGGGGGAAGAGCGGCGGCAGCGCGAGAUGCAUCCCCCUCUCCCCUCGACACGGUGUAUGGGCAAAUACUGGACAAGGGCAACUAAAUAUAUUUCAGGUUCUUUUAGCAACCAGAAAUAAAUGAAUGGGCACAUCCAGAAAUGCAGAUGUUUGUGUCUGCUGGAUGAGUCAGAUCCAGCGGAACAAAUCACAUUCACUACCGCCUCAUGUUCCUCCCUUCACAGAUAUUAGUUGCAGCUUCUUCCUAACGCUUCUCUGACUCACUCUAUAGACAGGGGGAAAAAAAAAAAAAAAAAAAAAAAAAAAAAAAAAUCAGAUUUAUAUUUGAGGGGGGAUGAAGGAAAAAAAAAAAAGGGGGAGGGGGUGUCGGAUCCAGCUACACUUUUACUAUACCUCUUUCUCCGGGAGACUGAGGAUCAGGAAAACAAGGCUGUUAUCCACUCACUGGCACAGAGGCGCGUCUGUCUCCUGCUUUGCUGAGUGUUUUUAACCACCUUUCCUCAGUGUUAUGUGUGAAAUAAAUCAGAGAUCUUUCAUAUUAAAAGAAAAAAGGAAAAAACAACAAAAAAACCACCAUAGGUUCCCAAUACAUAGCUCACAGAUCUAGUUCCGAGCCUCAGUUCUGCACUGUUGUUUUUUUUUUUCUCCUUUAUUUGAGUCCGGACCCAAAGCACACAGUUAAUUCUGCAACCUGUGGUAGAGAGGCUUUCAAAAGAAAAAGAAGGAAAAGCAGAUACUCUUCUCUGCCUCAUUGGUGGGUGGCUCCCUCCGAACAACCGGUUGCCAGUCUUAGCCAGGCAGCACGCGGAGCCAACGCCGAUCCCCGGCACACCAGAUCCAUUGCACCAGCCGCCCGCAGGGAAGCGGAGGAUUCGGCGAAAAUUCAACAGUUGGAGCCGCUCUCCCCGUCUCCCCCCUCCUCUCCUCCCUCACUGCAGCACUCCGGGCCCGCCGCGCCGCGCUCACCCAGCACCGCUCGCCGACUGCC